rnacentral:rRNA from 1 species
GACGAACGCUGGCGGCGUGCUUAACACAUGCAAGUCGAAAGGAAAGGCCCUGCUUGCAGGGUACUCGAGUGGCGAACGGGUGAGUAACACGUGGGUGAUCUGCCCUGCACUUCGGGAUAAGCCUGGGAAACUGGGUCUAAUACCGGAUAGGAGCCAUUUUUAGUGUGAUGGUUGGAAAGUUUUUUCGGUGUAGGAUGAGCUCGCGGCCUAUCAGCUUGUUGGUGGGGUAAUGGCCUACCAAGGCGGCGACGGGUAGCCGGCCUGAGAGGGUGGACGGCCACAUUGGGACUGAGAUACGGCCCAGACUCCUACGGGAGGCAGCAGUGGGGAAUAUUGCACAAUGGGCGCAAGCCUGAUGCAGCGACGCCGCGUGGGGGAUGACGGCCUUCGGGUUGUAAACUCCUUUCGCUAGGGACGAAGCUUUUUGUGACGGUACCUAGAUAAGAAGCACCGGCUAACUACGUG